rfam:Gossypium hirsutum cultivar TM-1 chromosome 21, whole genome shotgun sequence
GCGGGGAUAACUCAGUUGGGAGAGCGUCAGACUGAAGAUCUGAAGGUCGCGUGUUCGAUCCAUGCUCAACGCA